AUUGAACGCUGGCGGCAUGCCUUACACAUGCAAGUCGAACGGUAACGGGCCUUCGGGUGCCGACGAGUGGCGAACGGGUGAGUAAUGCAUCGGAACGUACCUUUCAGUGGGGGAUAACGUAGCGAAAGUUACGCUAAUACCGCAUAUUCUGUGAGCAGGAAAGCAGGGGAUCGCAAGACCUUGCGCUGAUUGAGCGGCCGAUGUCAGAUUAGCUAGUUGGUGAGGUAAAGGCUCACCAAGGCGACGAUCUGUAGCGGGUCUGAGAGGAUGAUCGCCACACUGGAACUGAGACACGGUCCAGACUCCUACGGGAGGCAGCAGUGGGAAUUUUGGACAAUGGGGGCAACCCUGAUCCAGCCAUGCCGCGUGAGUGAAGAAGGCCUCGG
rnacentral:rRNA from 1 species